UACAGAGGUCCCAAGCGUUGUUCGGAUUCACUGGGCGUAAAGGGUGCGUAGGCGGUCGGGUAAGUCUGACGUGAAAUCUUCAAGCUCAACUUGGAAACUGCGUCCGAUACUAUUCGGCUAGAGGAAUGGAGGGGAGACUGGAAUACUUGGUGUAGCAGUGAAAUGCGUAGAUAUCAAGUGGAACACCGGUGGCGAAGGCGGCGACCUGGGUCGAUACUGACGCUGAUGCGCGAAAGCGUGGGGAGCAAACAGG
rnacentral:rRNA from 1 species